rnacentral:lncRNA from 1 species
UUUUUAGUAUGUUUUCCUUGGUGGACACCUGAAGAAUGAAUAGGAACAGAAAGUGUAACAUAAAUCUUUGGAUUAACCUUAUUUCUCUUGCAAUUUCAUUCUGACACUAUUUUGCUAAUGCAAGAAAGCCAGUAAAUAGAACUGAGCCCAAACUCUCUAAUACCAAGGGCUAUGGUGAGGCUGAUCCAGGACUUGGAGGAGCCUGGAAUAAAAGAUUGCUGAAAUUUUGCAAUAAAUAAAUCUUUUUAGAGGAUUCAUGUCUUCCCACGGAUAAUGAGAUGCCUAAGAGACCAGAUUCACCUACAUACCUUUUCUAGGACAAUUCAUCAUCUCAGUGUCAAGGGCACAUGUCAUGUUGCUCUUUCUUGCUGCUUACCAAGAAAGGUA